GUUAGACUUUUCAAAGAAGAUAGAUAGGCUUGACUUAGAUAAAAUUGUCUAAAAAAAUCAUCCUAAGUCAAAAUGAUGGACAAAAUCUUGGCACUGUUUCUGAUGUUGGCUGUUGCUUUAAUGAUGAUCCUCAAUGCAGAAGGAGGAUGUUCUCCUCCGUGUGUGCACUCUGAUUACUGCAUUGGAUCAAAUUGUGUACCCUCAACUAAUGGAAGAGAUUAAUAUUAUUAUCACAAUCAAGAACCGUACCACACGUAUUAAAUUGUUUAUAAACGGAUUAUAAUGAAUAAAUGCAACUUAUGGA